rnacentral:rRNA from 1 species
AUGAACGCUGGCGGCGUGCCUAAUCCCUGCAAGUCGAGCGAACGGACGAGAAGCUUGCUUCUCUGAUGUUAGCGGCGGACGGGUGAGUAACACGUGGAUAACCUACCUAUAAGACUGGGAUAACUUCGGGAAACCGGAGCUAAUACCGGAUAAUAUUUUGAACCGCAUGGUUCAGAAGUGAAAGACGGUCUUGCUGUCACUUAUAGAUGGAUCCGCGCUGCAUUAGCUAGUUGGUAAGGUAACGGCUUACCAAGGCAACGAUGCAUAGCCGACCUGAGAGGGUGAUCGGCCACACUGGAACUGAGACACGGUCCAGACUCCUACGGGAGGCAGCAGUAGGGAAUCUUCCGCAAUGGGCGAAAGCCUGACGGAGCAACGCCGCGUGAGUGAUGAAGGUCUUCGGAUCGUAAAACUCUGUUAUUAGGGAAGAACAUAUGUGUAAGUAACUGUGCACAUCUUGACGGUACCUAAUCAGAAAGCCACGGCUAACUACGUG